GAUGAACGCUAGCUACAGGCUUAACACAUGCAAGUCGAGGGGCAGCAUGAACUUAGCUUGCUAAGUUUGAUGGCGACCGGCGCACGGGUGAGUAACACGUAUCCAACCUGCCGAUGACUCGGGGAUAGCCUUUCGAAAGAAAGAUUGAUACCCGAUGGCAUAGUUCUUUCGCAUGGUGGAACUAUUAAAGAAUUUCGGUCAUCGAAGGGGAUGCGUUCCAUUAGGUUGUUGGCGGGGUAACGGCCCACCAAGCCAUCGAUGGAUAGGGGUUCUGAGAGGAAGGUCCCCCACAUUGGAACUGAGACACGGUCCAAACUCCUACGGGAGGCAGCAGUGAGGAAUAUUGGUCAAUGGACGAGAGUCUGAACCAGCCAAGUAGCGUGAAGGAUGACUGCCCUAUGGGUUGUAAACUUCUUUUAUACGGGAAUAAAGUGAGGCACGUGUGCCUUUUUGUAUGUACCGUAUGAAUAAGGAUCGGCUAACUCCGUGCCAGCCGCCGCAGUAAAAC
rnacentral:rRNA from 1 species